UGUGCCAUCCUUUGGGGGAAGAGGGAGAGGUGGGGAGUUUCAUUUUUACAAGGCACCAAUGAAAAGAUAGUUCUGGGCUGAAAAAAAAAUGGGUCAAAGUGCAAGAAUGGUUUAAUCAUGAAACAAAACAAUGUUGCAUAUACACUCUAAAAAAAAAUCCAACAUUUGGAAGGAGAAAGCUUUUUGCCUGCAGAUGUUUGGUGGGAACCAGAGAACUAUAAUUUACAUCCCUGAAAAUAUUAUUUUGCAGGAGGAGGAAGAAAAGCAGUCUGAUGGUUGGAACAAAAGAAAGGCAGAAUCCAUUUGGGAAGUGCUCAGAUACUAUAUUGAGAGUGUCAAUUAAGAAGAUAAAAUGUAUUAGAAGGAUUAUUCUGUAUCUGCAGAAUUUCUUACAGUCAAGAUAGGGAAUGCUACAAAUACUGAAAGAAACUGGAAAGAAGGAUUAUGACCAACCCCCUCUUAGCUCCUGCUUGGACCACCGGCCUCUGCCCUCAUCUUUAUCUGCUGCAGCCUGAUGGUACCACAACUCGCUGGAUAGAUAACACAUCUCUGCAACUGAGACAGACAGGGGAGCAGGUUUCAGAAGCUAUUUACCCUUCAAAACUUCUCAUUAGAGAUUAUAGUGAUUUCUUCUCUUUGGGGACAUUAUGUGAAAUCACCCACACAACAGUAAUCCUACAAAAACAAGGUAUAUGAAAAAACAGAGAGAAAAUGUAAUUUAAACAAAAUUAUUGGUUUUCUUAACAUAUCUAGAUGUAUACUUCUCAUAAGUUAAACUAGAUAAGGCAUUCUCGUCUUAAUGAUAUAAAGAGAAAAAAGAUGGGGUAUAUAUCCCACAUGACAAAGGAGUUAAUGGCCUAAGAGACCAAUUAUGCUACCUGACUACACCUGAAGGGACAGCCAGGCUUAUGGCAAGAUGAAGUCCAGGUUAGGAGGGGCUGCAUGGUAAUUAUAAAAGCAGGAAGUUUAGAACAGAAGGGAGCUGUAGGGAAAGGAAAGAGCCCUGCAGUCACUCUCUAGAAUUGAAGGUGGUGGAGUAAAGCCCCAGAGGAAAGGAAUAUGGACCAAUGUAGAACCCUGACAGAAAGGUGUGAGGACCAUGGAUCCUGCAGUUGGGGCUGAAGAUCUUUUGUGAGGACAUUUGGAUUAUUUGUUGGACUUUGUUACCUGGGAAUGGGUGGACUAAGGGUAUGCUUACACUGCAAUUAGAUACACACGGCUGGCCCAUACCAGCUGACUCAGGUUCGUGGGCUUCAGGCUAAGGGGCUGUUUAAUUGUGGGUGUACGAGCCCAGGCUCUACCACUCUGUGAAGUGGGAGGUCCCAGAGCUCAGGCUGCAGCCUGAACCUGAAUGUUUACUCCACAAUUAAACAGCCCCUCAAUGUCUAAUUGCAGGGUAGACAUGCCCUAAAUGGUGAUCUGGUGGGAGGGCUCUCUUCCAGCCCAGGAAGAGACACCUCCACAGUGGCAAAGUUACUGUUGGUAGAGGGUCCUAGACAGGAGAGAACCUGCCGUGCCACUCCCAGCUAAGAGGGGGUGUGCUAGCGGUCAAUGUACUCUUUCACAUGUCUAAAGCAAGUUCCUGUUCUGAGAUUCUCUUGUCAGAAUCCGCUCCUGUUGCUGUGUUGUGAGUCAGUGUCUCCUUCACUCAACCAGCCCAUCAAGCCCCACCCCUCCCACCUUCUUAAUCAAG